rnacentral:misc_RNA from 1 species
UCUCCGUAGGUGAACCUGCGGAGGGAUCAUUACUGAGAGAGGGUCUCCGGUCCCGACCUCCAACCUUGUGUGAACCAAACUUGUUGCUUCGGGGGCGACCCUGCCGCUUCGGCGGUGCGGCGCCCCCGGAGGCCAUUAAACACUGCAUCAUUGCGUCGGAGUUAAAGUAAAUUAAACAAAACUUUCAACAACGGAUCUCUUGGUUCUAGCAUCGAUGAAGAACGCAGC